GAUGAACGCUGGCGGCGUGCCUAAUACAUGCAAGUCGAGCGAACGGACGAGAAGCUUGCUUCUCUGAUGUUAGCGGCGGACGGGUGAGUAACACGUGGAUAACCUACCUAUAAGACUGGGAUAACUUCGGGAAACCGUAGCUAAUACCGGAUAAUAUUUUGAACCGCAUGGUUCAAAAGUGAAAGACGGUCUUGCUGUCACUUAUAGAUGGGUCCGCGCUGCAUUAGCUAGUUGGUAAGGUAACGGCUUACCAAGGCAGCGAUGCAUAGCCGACCUGAGAGGGUGAUCGGCCACACUGGAACUGAGACACGGUCCAGACUCCUACGGGAGGCAGCAGUAGGGAAUCUUCCGCAAUGGGCGAAAGCCUGACGGAGCAACGCCGCGUGAGUGAUGAAGGUCUUCGGAUCGUAAAACUCUGUUAUUAGGGAAGAACAUAUGUGUAAGUAACUGUGCACAUCUUGACUGUACCUAAUCAGAAAGCCACGGCUAACUACGUG
rnacentral:rRNA from 1 species